rnacentral:lncRNA from 1 species
GAAAUCCCCCUAACUCUCUUAAGAGUUACAAUUUCGUCCAUACAUCUGUUUAUAUAGGCUGUUACAAUCUGAGACAUCAUAAACCUAUAUCUAAUGGCUGUAAAUCACUUAAGAGGAAUGGAUGGUGUAGAUGAGCUGGUCUUGUUGCAAUCUGAGUAGUUGAUGCUGAUUGGUUAAGAGGAGAUGGAGUCUGAUUGGUUUAAUUCAAAAUGGGGAAGGCUGAACUGUGAUUGGCUCUCCUUAGGCUCCUGCUAAUCUAUCCAGAGAUAAGUCCAGGUACAUGGUCGUGGCUCCCCUUGUCUUUACAGCCAAGGCCAGCCUGUCCCAAGACCAAACUAGCCAAUCACACUCCAAUGGCAUCUUCUUGAUUCUCCUUUGAUGCCAUCUGAUCAGAACCUUAUCCACAAGACUGGGACCACUUUUAUAACUCCUAAACCUUGCCCAGACAUUGCACAAGCCUUCCCGGGACGUCAGGUUCGCCCUAUUUUUGCACCAACUCCAAAACUUCUCAAAUGGCCGAGUUAUGCAAAUCUGGGUCGCCCUGGUCCGUACGGAUCCGUACUGUCCGUACAUGUCCGUACUGCCUCGCCCUAUCUUUGCACACUCGCUCAUUUGCUCCCAAAUACACUUCUAAGUCUCUCCUAGACUUGACCCUAACUUUGCACAUCCAUCAGGACACUUCUGGACACCUUGCCCUAUCUUUUGCACAAGCCCCAACUCAACUCAACACUUUUAGUUUCUCCAUUUCUUCUCUUCAAGUUAACACUCCCCCUCAAGCUUGACUUUAGUUGAUCCUAUGUCAAGCUUGGAACCUUGAAGAACUUCCUCAUUAAAAACCUCACCAAGGAAAACCCUUUGGGACAAAACCUUGAUGAGGGAAAAAGAGUAAAGUCUCCAAGGCCUAGGGAUUGGCCAGUGAGCUCUUGUGCCUUAGAACCAGUGUGGUUGGACACAAGAAGCUCUGGAUCACGGCCUAAACUGGUGCAGCAACUCAUCAAGACUUUGCGCACUCAACAACUCAGCUUCACCUCUUCAUGGAACCGGUUUGAAGUCUCCCCCUCUCAACUGACUUCACAGCCUUCUUAGAGAAGCUAGGACACGGCCAGAUCAUCUUCAAAACACCAGUGAGGCUGAUCAACACUUCACACACGGCUUGCCCUCUUCAUAGAACUGGUUUGGAUCUCCCCCUCUCAACAGACUUCUCAGCCAUCUUAGAGAAGCUAGGAACUGACCAGGAACAUCUUUAGUGAGGCUCAAGCAAUGGUACCUGAUACAUUAUCCCAAAGGUGCAUCAGUACCUAUCAAAAACAAGAAAAUGAAUAUCCUGCAUCACAUUUGAUGCACACAAUCUCACAAUUCAAAAUGAAUAUCCUGCAUCACAUUUGAUGCACACAAUCUCACAAUUCAAUCAUAAUCAUCUUAAGUAUCUUUUCAAGCACAAGCAAUGAAUAAGAUGAAUGAAAAAGAUUGAAAGGAGUUUUAAAAAGUCUAAGGGAACUUCCCUUGUGUUCUUGUGAGUUUCCAAACUCGACCAAUGCACCAUCUUCAUGGCAUCAUCAACUUCUUGGAAAGGCAGAAUGGAUUCAUCAGCUUCUCCUCAAUCACCUCUCAUUGAAGCCGCAUUGAUGGAGAGCCUUCCUCCUCACUCGCCAAGGCUGCUCUGAACAGCCUCUUGCCUAGACACGCCACUGACUUGGUCCGGUUGAUGAUCCUUGUAGAAGCUUUUGCAAAAGGCUUGUUACUGACCAUGGAUCAUAUGCAUUAAGACUCCCCCUCAAGCUUAGAACCGAGACUAGAAGGAGCUAAGCUUGUGAUGAUCCUAUGCAUCUCCAUGGUCUAAUAACUAUCAUCUUUCAUGAUAGCUUUCUUCUUGUGAGUUUACUCUCUUCCUUAACCAGGAACUAGGGUGUUUGAAUCACCAUAGAGAGUCUCACAAGACACACCUCUCAUUGCAUAAUGACCCAUGCUACACUUCCUGUAGACUAAGGACUAGAUAUGUCAAAUGGUAUUAUGCAAUGGUCAUCUCUCAUUGCAUACUCAAUCACACUACACUUCCUGUAGAUUAUGGACUAACAUGUCCUAGUGAUGAUAUGCAAUGGCACAAGACCUUUGUCUCUACAUUCUUGGCUGUUGGUGAGUUACAUGUAUCACUUUCCUUGUGUACCUAACACCACCACAACUCAAUGCAAGAUCAGAUCAUCCCAUUGGGAUCAAACCAAGAUAAUUUAUCCUGUUUGAUCACCAAUGCCACAGCAAUAUAUAAACCUUGAAACAAGCCAAUCAAUUAAGGCAAGAACAAGCAGUUUUCAAUCUCUAAAAUGACAAUGCAAGCUUUAUACAAUACAUUGACAAUUUAGGCUCAUUUUUAAAUGCAUCAAUACAUGAAUGCACAAUCUUAAAGCAUUAACUCCAUGAAUGCAACAGGUUCAAUCCAUGAGACAUAUUAAAGCUAUGCACACCAGUUUCAAUCAAGACCAAUGAUGCACGCACCUUAGACACUUUCUAAUUGAUGCUAGACUUUCAUUUUUGGAAUAAACAUAAACAUUAGCAACAGUACACACUCGGAUUGAACUUAGACAAUAUGAGACAUGCUUAUGUAUGCAAAACAGCUUUUCAAACAUGAUGCAAGCAGUAUAGACAUUCUACUCAAUUCUACAACACAUUCAUUCUGAUUCAAGCUAUGGCAACACACAAGACAAUGCAAUAAACAAAACAUGAGAUUCUGGGACUCUAGACACCACUCACAGCACAAUAAAUAAAGACACAAGCGCUUAUUAAUGGUUAGGAGGUUUGCUUACAAACAAGAGAUCCGAGCUGAUCUCUUGAACCUCCAUGGGCACGGUUCACUUGAACUUGGCAGGUUUGAG